UCACCAGACCCUGUUGGACAGUGCUUGC
rnacentral:piRNA from 1 species